UACAGAGGUCUCAAGCGUUGUUCGGAUUCAUUGGGCGUAAAGGGUGCGUAGGUGGUGCCGUAAGUUGGAUGUGAAAUCUCAGGGCUUAACCCUGAAACUGCAUUCAAUACUGCGGUGCUGGAGUACUGGAGAGGAGAUUGGAAUUCACGGUGUAGCAGUGAAAUGCGUAGAUAUCGUGAGGAAGACCAGUGGCGAAGGCGGAUCUCUGGACAGUUACUGACACUGAGGCACGAAGGCCAGGGGAGCAAACGGG
rnacentral:rRNA from 1 species